AGCCCAUGGUGAGAGAAUCUUUUUAAUAGGUCCUAGUAUCUCUCCCAUGCAUCAUAGAGUGUUUCUAAAUCCAUCUACACAAAAGAAGAAAUAUCAUUCCUUAAUUU
rfam:Gossypium hirsutum cultivar TM-1 unplaced genomic scaffold scaffold1036.1, whole genome shotgun sequence